AGUUUUGAGCUAAAUAUAUUAUAAUAUUAGUUUAUUUAUGAAGGUGUUGUAAAACCUUAUUAAAAAUUAUAUUUAGGGGUGAUAGGCCUUUCAAAAACUAAGAUAUCUUGAAUCUAAUUAAAAGUAUGUAGUACAUUCAACACAACUAUUAAGUGAUUAGGCUUUAUAGAACUAUUAACUUAUAAGGAUUUUUAUUUAUUAUAAUUUAAUAAUUAAAUAUAUAAAUAGAAUAAUAUACAUAUAUUAUAGUUUAUAAGGAGUAAUUAGAUAAAUUAAAGUUCAUAAAUUUUGUAAUAAUGUUAAUAUUAGUAUUAAGUUUAUAUUUAUAUGAUGAACUCGGCAAAAAUGUUUCUCAACUGUUUAUCAAAAACAUAACUAUGUGUAUAAAUACAUAGCGGUUUCUGCUCAA
rnacentral:rRNA from 1 species